UACGUAGGGUGCGAGCGUUAAUCGGAAUUACUGGGCGUAAAGCGUGCGCAGGCGGUUCUCCAAGUCCGUUGUGAAAGCCCCGGGCUCAACCUGGGAAUGGCAGUGGAAACUAGGGGACUGGAAUCUGGCAGAGGGGGGUGGAAUGCCGCGUGUAGCAGUGAAAUGCGUAGAGGUGCGGCGGAACACCGAUGGCGAAGGCAGCCCCCUGGGCUGAGAUUGACGCUCAGGCACGAAAGCGUGGGGAGCAAACAGG
rnacentral:rRNA from 1 species